CAAUAGCGUAUAUUAAAGUUGUUGCGGUAAAAAAGCUCGUAGUUGGAUUUCUACCGAAGAUAGCCGGUCGGGUCUUCGACCUUGUAUCUGGUUUUGUCUUUGGUAUCCUCAUAGGGAACGUUUCUGCGCUUUAUUGCGUGGUGCGGUAUCUAUGACUUUUACUUUGAGGAAAUUAGAGUGUUCACGGCAGGCAAACGCCUUGAAUAUAUUAGCAUGGAAUAAUAACAUAGGAUCUUCGUCCUAUUUUGUUGGUUUCUAGGGCUAGGAUAAUGAUUAAUAGGGAUAAUUGGGGGCAUCUGUAUCAACGCGUCAGAGGUGGAAUUCUUGGAUUGCGUUGCGACAAACUACUGCGAAAGCAUUUGCCAAGGAUGUUUUCAUUGA
rnacentral:rRNA from 1 species